GCUGCUUUUGUUUUUUCAGUAUUUUUGUGUUUUUUUUUUCAUCUUUUGUUUUGUUUUUUUGUUGUGUGGCCGUAAUAAAAUUGCGCCUUUUUUGUUUGACUUUUUUUAUGCGCAUAUUUUGCACCACAUGGCCGGCUUGGGACAGCUCCAAAGCCACCACCGCGAAGUUCCACUGGAACCACCAUCUGAACAGAACGGAACCCACUCCUGCCUGCCCAGAGCCCCAUCCAUGAUGAUCCCCUGCCUCAAUGUUUGUGUGCUGCUUUGGCUUUGACGCUUAAACGAUUUUUUUGUGGGCUCUUCAGUUUUUUGUUCUUGAUGUUACUUGGGUUUGGCUUGGUCACAUUCCACACGAAAAAUAUAGCCGUACACCACAAAAUCCGCGGAGCUCGCAAAUGCAAUUUCGAUUUGGAGACAAAACUAAACGAGACCCGUUGAGGAGUCUGAUGAAACAAAGUCAAUGCCUGAUGAAAAUUGAGCUAAACAAGUUCGGAAAGUCUCUACAGACACAAAACUUGAGAAAGCCGGUAUCAGAGUCAGUCCCGUCAGGACUUCGAAGAAACAAAUCCCGUAAACUGUGUAUCCCGUAAAGAUUCUGGCAGAAGGCAGUGCCCGGAGAGAGUCUGAGGAAGAACUUCGAGUCGAAAAUCACUUUAGAACUAUGUGUAUGCUGAUCGAGAAGUUGACGACGCGAACUGAUGACGGCGACUGUGUUCUUGGCGCAGUGUAAACAUGCGUUUAUAUAGGUGCCUAAAAUUAAAC
rnacentral:lncRNA from 1 species